rnacentral:rRNA from 1 species
GGAAAUAAGGAAGCCGUUAAAAUGCAAGUCGAGCGGACAGAUGGGAGCUUGCUCCCUGAUGUUAGCGGCGGACGGGUGAGUAACACGUGGGUAACCUGCCUGUAAGACUGGGAUAACUCCGGGAAACCGGGGCUAAUACCGGAUGGUUGUUUGAACCGCAUGGUUCAGACAUAAAAGGUGGCUUCGGCUACCACUUACAGAUGGACCCGCGGCGCAUUAGCUAGUUGGUGAGGUAACGGCUCACCAAGGCGACGAUGCGUAGCCGACCUGAGAGGGUGAUCGGCCACACUGGGACUGAGACACGGCCCAGACUCCUACGGGAGGCAGCAGUAGGGAAUCUUCCGCAAUGGACGAAAGUCUGACGGAGCAACGCCGCGUGAGUGAUGAAGGUUUUCGGAUCGUAAAGCUCUGUUGUUAGGGAAGAACAAGUGCCGUUCAAAUAGGGCGGCACCUUGACGGUACCUAACCAGAAAGCCACGGCUAACUACGUGCCAGCAGCCGCGGUAAUACGUAGGUGGCAAGCGUUGUCCGGAAUUAUUGGGCGUAAAGGGCUCGCAGGCGGUUUCUUAAGUCUGAUGUGAAAGCCCCCGGCUCAACCGGGGAGGGUCAUUGGAAACUGGGGAACUUGAGUGCAGAAGAGGAGAGUGGAAUUCCACGUGUAGCGGUGAAAUGCGUAGAGAUGUGGAGGAACACCAGUGGCGAAGGCGACUCUCUGGUCUGUAACUGACGCUGAGGAGCGAAAGCGUGGGGAGCGAACAGGAUUAGAUACCCUGGUAGUCCACGCCGUAAACGAUGAGUGCUAAGUGUUAGGGGGUUUCCGCCCCUUAGUGCUGCAGCUAACGCAUUAAGCACUCCGCCUGGGGAGUACGGUCGCAAGACUGAAACUCAAAGGAAUUGACGGGGGCCCGCACAAGCGGUGGAGCAUGUGGUUUAAUUCGAAGCACGCGAAGAACCUUACCAGGUCUUGACAUCCUCUGACAAUCCUAGAGAUAGGACGUCCCCUUCCGGGGCCAAGUGACAGGGGGGGCCUGGGUGUUCUCGCCCGUGUCUGGGAUGUUUGGGUUA